rnacentral:rRNA from 1 species
UACGAAGGGGGCUAGCGUUGCUCGGAAUCACUGGGCGUAAAGGGUGCGUAGGCGGGUCUUUAAGUCAGGGGUGAAAUCCUGGAGCUCAACUCCAGAACUGCCUUGAUACUGAAGAUCUUGAGUUCGGGAGAGGUGAGUGGAACUGCGAGUGUAGAGGUGAAAUUCGUAGAUAUUCGUAAGAACACCAGUGGCGAAGGCGGCUCACUGGCCCGAUACUGACGCUGAGGCACGAAAGCGUGGGAGCAACAGGG